rnacentral:rRNA from 1 species
UACGAAGGGGGCUAGCGUUGUUCGGAAUUACUGGGCGUAAAGCGCACGUAGGCGGGUGGUUAAGUCAGGGGUGAAAUCCCGGAGCUCAACUCCGGAACUGCCUUUGAUACUGGCCAUCUAGAGAUCGGAAGAGGUGAGUGGAAUUCCCAGUGUAGAGGUGAAAAUUCGUAGAUAUUGGGAAGAACACCAGUGGCGAAGGCGGCUCACUGGUCCGAUACUGACGCUGAGGUGCGAAAGCGUGGGGAGCAAACAGGG